CUGGAAAGCAAAUUGCAUUGAAUGAAAAGCAAUUACAAAUAAAGAUGGUUCACAAAACAUACAUUUCUCCUCUGAAUUCCUUUCGUUCGAUCGCUGAGUACUUAGAAUUUUAGAGAGAGUGUUUGUAUAAAAUUUUGUGACCUUUGUUCUGAAUGAAAAACUACUAUAAAUACUACUGCAAAGUGGUAACUGUUUCUUGAUCAUCUGGACGCUCUUCGAUCUGCCACGUCGACCACGUUCUCCACUUUCAUCUUCCAUUCCUUCAGCGCGCGCCAAUGCCUCUUGGGCCGUUUGUUGUUUCUUUUUUGGGCUUGGCCCAACUAUCUUUCGAUUCGAUUUCGCGCUUUCGA
rnacentral:lncRNA from 1 species